CCCUAUGGGCGGCAAUGGUAGGGAGCCUUCGGGCUGCCGGUUUUCCUGUAUGCGCCGGUCUUCCAACCUUGCCACCUGCCGCCCUCCCGU
rnacentral:antisense_RNA from 1 species